GACGUAGGGCGCGAGCGUUGUCCGGAUUUAUUGGGCGUAAAGAGCUCGUAGGCGGCUUGUUGCGUCGACUGUGAAAACCCGCGGCUUAACUGCGGGCUUGCAGUUGAUACGGGCAGGCUAGAGUUCGGUAGGGGAGACUGGAAUUCCUGGUGUAGCGGUGAAAUGCGCAGAUAUCAGGAGGAACACCCGUAGCGAAGGCGGCACUCUGGGCCGAUACUGACACUGAGGAGCGAAAGCGUGGGGAGCGAACAGG
rnacentral:rRNA from 1 species